rnacentral:rRNA from 1 species
GACAGAGGGGGCAAGCGUUGUUCGGAAUCACUGGGCGUAAAGGGCGCGUAGGCGGCCAUGUAAGUUAGAGGUGAAAGCCCGGAGCUCAACUUCGGAAUAGCCUUUAAUACUGCUUGGCUAGAGUUUGGAAGAGGGUAGUGGAAUCCCUAGUGUAGAGGUGAAAUUCGUAGAUAUUAGGAGGAACACCAGUUGCGAAGGCGGCUACCUGGUCCGAUACUGACGCUGAGGCGCGAAAGCGUGGGGAGCAAACAGG